rnacentral:tRNA from 1 species
GGCCCUGUGGUGAAGUUCAUGUUGAGUUGCAAGCUCAUUGAUACACAUUAAAAGUGUGUCGGGGCCU